rnacentral:rRNA from 1 species
UACGUAGGGUGCGAGCGUUGUCCGGAAUUAUUGGGCGUAAAGAGCUUGUAGGUGGUUUGUCGCGUCUGCUGUGAAAAUCCGAGGCUCAACCUCGGACUUGCAGUGGGUACGGGCAGACUAGAGUGUGGUAGGGGAGACUGGAAUUCCUGGUGUAGCGGUGGAAUGCGCAGAUAUCAGGAGGAACACCGAUGGCGAAGGCAGGUCUCUGGGCCAUUACUGACACUGGAGA